rnacentral:rRNA from 1 species
AUUGAACGCUGGCGGCAGGCCUAACACAUGCAAGUCGAGCGGAUGAAGGGAGCUUGCUCCUGGAUUCAGCGGCGGACGGGUGAGUAAUGCCUAGGAAUCUGCCUGGUAGUGGAGGAUAACGUCCGGAAACGGGCGCUAAUACCGCAUACGUCCUGAGGGAGAAAGUGGGGGAUCUUCGGACCUCACGCUAUCAGGUGAGCCUAGGUCGGAUUAGCUAGUUGGUGGGGUAAAGGCCUACCAAGGCGACGAUCCGUAACUGGUCUGAGAGGAUGAUCAGUCACACUGGAACUGAGACACGGUCCAGACUCCUACGGGAGGCAGCAGUGGGGAAUAUUGGACAAUGGGCGAAAGCCUGAUCCAGCCAUGCCGCGUGUGUGAAGAAGGUCUUCGGAUUGUAAAGCACUUUAAGUUGGGAGGAAGGGCAGUAAGUUAAUACCUUGCUGUUUUGACGUUACCAACAGAAUAAGCACCGGCUAACUUCGUG